UUGUGACGUGUCUUGCCAUUGCAUGGGCUGUAAGGAGUGGAAGCAGUAUUGGGGUGGAGUCUUGGGGGAACACUUUUUGUAAGGGCUUGGGGCACCUCCCUAGAGAGAGAGAGAGUUGAGUGACAGGGAUCCAGGUUAAUUAACGGUGUGUGAAGAAAAUGGGAGGUGGUGGCCAGAAGUGGUAGUUGUUGCUGGAGCAAAAGGAAGACAGCACCAAAUGGUGAAGGGAACGAACAGUUAAAGAGGUAGAUAGGACGAAGGUGAAUUAUCUUUGUUAUUUUGGAGGUGUCCCCGUGACCCAGACAACAGGCGGCGGUAGGGCACCGUUUAUAUCGUGGCAUAUUCUAUAAAAAGCCGGUCAGCAUU